CGCUUAUCAAGAGAGGUGGAGGGACUGGCCCUAUGAAGCCCAGCAACCGAUAUUAUUAAGGUAAUGUCAGGUGCUAAUUCCUGCGGUGUGUGCCGAAAGAUGAGGA
rnacentral:ncRNA from 2 species